CAUUAAUGGCGCGCUGUAAUGAACGCCAGAGUCCCAGAGAUAGCAGAGAAGCCACUCAGGUUUUCAAGACCCUAAACCUCACCAGGGCCUUCCUACAGAAAACAAACAAGUUCCACCUUAUAUAGCCUGAAUACAUCACCACCGCAUACUGCAUCUUUGGGGCACUAGAGGUUGUGACACAGCCUGCACAGCCCCAACAAACCCCCAAGAAGGCUAGAGAGGCAAUCAGCUGUGCUUUGUGUCAAAUUACCUUUCCCUUGACUCAGACGUCAUUACUUUGUGGUGGUGGUGUCUCUUACUGCUCUCAGGAUUGUGUUGAGGUAUGGAGAAAUACAUGAAGAGGAGGAGGAAGAGGAAGGAAGAGGUAGAGGUAGAUAAAAAGAGGAAGAGAAGAAAGGAGGAAUGAAGAGAAAAAAGAAAAGAACGUUACCAUGGCUGGAACACUUCAACAUCAUUGUGUGCAAGUUUGGAGCCACCAACCUAUUGGUGGUGGUGGUGGUGGCGUGAAGCCUGCAGGAUGAAAUAGAGGUGUGUGAGUGGCAGCCCAGCGCUCAGUCUCCGCCCCACCAAUGCAAUAAUACAGAUUGUGUUAAGAUAUGGAGAGAGACCAAGGCAAGAGGAGGAAGAGGUAGAGGAAGAUAAGAAGAGG